GUGGGGACAUCAGAUAACUCCCCACAGCUAAGGGACUUGUUAGUAUGUACUAAGUAGUUCAACUGUUAGCUUGCUGCUAUUUCUGUAAACUAAUAAAUGCCUUUCACACUGUCUGUGUGUAACACAGGGAGAUGUACGGUCAAGAAACAGAGUACCACACAGACUCUGUUCAGAGUACUCAGGGCAUUUUUACAUGGUUACUAUUUUUGUAGAAUCUGACAGUCUUGGAGUAUCUGUAUUUCUUUAUGAGAUUAUCUGUUUCUCCUGUUUCCAUUCUUUUUAAAAUUUGACCUGUUUAUUUUUGGUGCUUGUUAGACCUAGACGUACAUGAUAUAGAUGGUAUAUGUAUAUGAGAUGGAAUACCAGUGGUGUACUUUUUCAUGUCUCACUUUAAUCUUUUGUCUUGCCAGACCAAUCUGCACUGUAGGUAGAUACUAGUAUAAAGAAACCUUCACAAUAAGUACUUGUUCUUCAAAACCUUGAAUUGUUGGCACUCUGAUAUACUAUAUACAGUAUGUGAAUCAAAUAAAUCUGAUAAAUAUGUGUGUUGCUAUACAGUUAUUUAAGAUAUAUAUUGUAUAUAUUCACAUUUAAAUUUAAUUUGCAUAGUCAUGACAAUGUAGAUAAUCAGUUCUUAUUUAUGAUUUUAUUAUGGAUACAUGGUAUCGGUCAGAUUUUGUAGUUAAGUCUGUGGGCAGCUGUUAGAGAGAGCUCAAGUUUAGAACCUGCUGGAUUGAUGUACCAUAUUGAAUGUACAUUUCAUUACUAAAGAUUAGUUAAGAUCCAUGUUAACCAAAGAAACAUGUAACCUCCAUGCUUACAUUGACCUCAUCAGAGGAAAGCUUAGAACCAAAUAAACUUACAAGUGUGGUAUAUACAAUUCACCAACAACUUUAAGCCCACAGUUAUCAGUAAAGCUCUUGUUGUGAAUACCAUGAACAUUGAAAGAUAAUACUUUUGAAAACACUUGUCAUUUUAGAAACUGGGAUAAAAGUUUUCUCAUUUCUCUCUCCUUUUUUUGGCUAGAUAGCAAGCUUUAUGUAAUUGUACUUCCUAAUCACGCCAUAUAAGAGAUGACCAAAUAUGCAAAUUUUCAUUACUCCUGCAUUAAUUGAUGUCCCUGACCUACCCUUCUUCCUUUAUAUCUGCUGGUCAGAAUAGGAGCAGUCUGGCAGUUGGCUUUUUAUUCUCAUGAUGAAAAUAAGUUUGAUCAAAUUUUUAACCACAUAAUGAAACUAGAAUUUUUUCAAAAGUUGAAUUGUGUGUGAAUUGUGUUGUUUUUUAAUGGUUACUGGAACUAAGUCUUGCUUAAUUUAAUAACAGAAUUCAACAGAUUUCACUGCUUGUUUGGGGCUUUGAUUCAUCAGUUAGAUCCAGCAUUCAUUCUAGCUUACUGCAUGAUUCCAUUUUUGUUUGUCAUAAUAUUUUAUCAAAGGUUGAAAAAAAGAAUGUGUUUCUGUGAUAUGCUUGCAUCUCUGUCACCAUGAUAGUUUGUUUUAAUAGAUAGGAAUUCAUGUUAUGAAAAGUAUUUAUAUGUGUUGCACAUAUUACUGACUAGAUACGAAACCAUUUUAUUUGUUCAGGGUCAAUGAAAUGUACAAAGAAUUAUGAAUUUUAAUUUUCCACAAUAAGAAUCUCUAUGAGAAUAUAAUGUAGAAAUUUUUUUUCUGAACUGUUUGUAAAUUUUGCAGGUUUUUUUUUUUAAUUUCAUGUUAUGUAGUGUAUUUUUUAUCAUAUUUUAAUUUUUGUUGAAGAAAUUAAGUGGAAAUUGAAUUGUUAUGAGAACCUGUUUUAAUUGGAAUUGUUUGAAUGGACUAUUGUGUGAGUAAUGUUAAUAAAGUAUCGUUAUAGAUAUAUG
rnacentral:misc_RNA from 1 species